GAUGAACGCUGGCGGCGUGCCUAAUACAUGCAAGUCGAGCGAACGGACGAGAAGCUUGCUUCUCUGAUGUUAGCGGCGGACGGGUGAGUAACACGUGGAUAACCUACCUAUAAGACUGGGAUAACUUCGGGAAACCGGAGCUAAUACCGGAUGAUAUUUUGAACCGCAUGGUUCAAAAGUGAAAGACGGUCUUGCUGUCACUUAUAGAUGGAUCCGCGCUGCAUUAGCUAGUUGGUAAGGUAACGGCUUACCAAGGCAACGAUGCAUAGCCGACCUGAGAGGGUGAUCGGCCACACUGGAACUGAGACACGGUCCAGACUCCUACGGGAGGCAGCAGUAGGGAAUCUUCCGCAAUGGGCGAAAGCCUGACGGAGCAACGCCGCGUGAGUGGUGAAGGUCUUCGGAUCGUAAAACUCUGUUAUUAGGGAAGAACAUAUGUGUAAGUAACUGUGCACAUCUUGACGGUACCUAAUCAGAAAGCCACGGCUAACUACGUGCCAGCAGCCGCGGUAAUACGUAGGUGGCAAGCGUUAUCCGGAAUUAUUGGGCGUAAAGCGCGCGUAGGCGGUUUUUUAAGUCUGAUGUGAAAGCCCACGGCUCAACCGUGGAGGGUCAUUGGAAACUGGAAAACUUGAGUGCAGAAGAGGAAAGUGGAAUUCCAUGUGUAGCGGUGAAAUGCGCAGAGAUAUGGAGGAACACCAGUGGCGAAGGCGACUUUCUGGUCUGUAACUGACGCUGAUGUGCGAAAGCGUGGGGAUCAAACAGGAUUAGAUACCCUGGUAGUCCACGCCGUAAACGAUGAGUGCUAAGUGUUAGGGGGUUUCCGCCCCUUAGUGCUGCAGCUAACGCAUUAAGCACUCCGCCUGGGGAGUACGACCGCAAGGUUGAAACUCAAAGGAAUUGACGGGGACCCGCACAAGCGGUGGAGCAUGUGGUUUAAUUCGAAGCAACGCGAAGAACCUUACCAAAUCUUGACAUCCUUUGACAACUCUAGAGAUAGAGCCUUCCCCUUCGGGGGACAAAGUGACAGGUGGUGCAUGGUUGUCGUCAGCUCGUGUCGUGAGAUGUUGGGUUAAGUCCCGCAACGAGCGCAACCCUUAAGCUUAGUUGCCAUCAUUAAGUUGGGCACUCUAAGUUGACUGCCGGUGACAAACCGGAGGAAGGUGGGGAUGACGUCAAAUCAUCAUGCCCCUUAUGAUUUGGGCUACACACGUGCUACAAUGGACAAUACAAAGGGCAGCGAAACCGCGAGGUCAAGCAAAUCCCAUAAAGUUGUUCUCAGUUCGGAUUGUAGUCUGCAACUCGACUACAUGAAGCUGGAAUCGCUAGUAAUCGUAGAUCAGCAUGCUACGGUGAAUACGUUCCCGGGUCU
rnacentral:rRNA from 1 species